CGGCGGCGGAGGCGCCUCUGCAGCUCCGGCUCCCCCUGGCCUCUCGGGAACUACAAGUCCCAGGGGGCCUGGCGGCGGGCGGCGGGCGGAAGAGGCGGGGUCGGCGCC
ensembl:miRNA